AGUGAACGCUGGCGGUAGGCCUAACACAUGCAAGUCGAACGGCAGCACAGUAAGAGCUUGCUCUUACGGGUGGCGAGUGGCGGACGGGUGAGGAAUACAUCGGAAUCUACUUUUUCGUGGGGGAUAACGUAGGGAAACUUACGCUAAUACCGCAUACGACCUACGGGUGAAAGCAGGGGUUCUUCGGACCUUGCGCGAUUGAAUGAGCCGAUGUCGGAUUAGCUAGUUGGCGGGGUAAAGGCCCACCAAGGCGACGAUCCGUAGCUGGUCUGAGAGGACGAUCAGCCACACUGGAACUGAGACACGGUCCAGACUCCUACGGGAGGCAGCAGUGGGGAAUAUUGGACAAUGGGCGCAAGCCUGAUCCAGCCAUACCGCGUGGGUGAAGAAGGCCUUCGGGUUGUAAAGCCCUUUUGUUGGGAAAGAAAAGCAGCAGGUUAAUACCCCGCUGUUCUGACGGUACCCAAAGAAUAAGCACCGGCUAACUUCGUG
rnacentral:rRNA from 1 species